rnacentral:rRNA from 1 species
ACUGAGUGGCGGACGGGUGAGUAACGCGUGGGUAACCUGCCCUGUACAGGGGGACAACAGUUAGAAAUGACUGCUAAUACCGCAUAAGCGCACAGGACCGCAUGGUCCGGUGUGAAAAACUCCGGUGGUACAGGAUGGACCCGCGUCUGAUUAGGUAGUUGGCGGGGUAACGGCCCACCAAGCCGACGAUCAGUAGCCGACCUGAGAGGGCGACCGGCCACAUUGGGACUGAGACACGGCCCAAACUCCUACGGAAGGCAGCAG